rnacentral:rRNA from 1 species
AUGCAAGGUGAAGGUUAUAAGGAUCUCAAUACGACAUCAGCUGCAGGUUGUACCCUCUUCUUAGGCUCCCGUGGCUUUGACUCAGCCUUCUUGAUGCCGCCCUUGGCGGCUGCUGGCUUGGUCGCCGUGGCACUGAGCUUUGCAGGCCCCUUGGUGGCACUAACCUUGGUAGGCUCCUUGGCCUGCCCUUCAAGUCCGGUUGGCUUCACGGCCUUCAGGGAUGCCAUUCUUAUAUGCUGCUCUGUUCCGGCACUGGAAGGCUCAGAAGCUUAA